rnacentral:lncRNA from 1 species
CGACUGCUUCGUACUCAAAGUAUCCGCCGAUCGUGACUCACUGAUCGAACGUAACGACGCCGGAGCUCCGGCGGAGGUUAUACGCCACGCGCUGUACGGAUACUUCUGCCAGAAGAGCGGGCUACUGCUCUACUUGGAAGAUUCACACCUCACCAGAGUCACGACGAUCUCACCAGAAGACGAAGCGGUUUACUGGGAGACGACGAUAGGAAGUAGCAUCGGAGAUUACCGUGACGUUGACGGAGUCGCUGUAGCUCACUGCGGACGUGCCGUCGCGACGGUGUUUCGAUUCGGAGAGACGUCGUUGCAGUAUAGCAGGACGAGGAUGGAGGAGAUUUGGAGGAUCGACGACGUCGUUUUCGAUGUGCCUGGGCUUUCGUUGGAUUCGUUUAUUCCUCCCGCCGAUAUAUUUGAAGAUGAUAACAACAUUAGUACUCCUGUUUGCAGCAAUGUAAAUUCCCGUUAAAAAAAUGUGGACUAAUUUAAUAACUAAAAAACUAUUUAUUGGCGGGUUAAUUAGUUGAUGGUGAUGGUAUAAUGUGACGUUUGUUUUUGUAUAUUACUUUUUUAUCAAGAAAUUAAUGUUUUUGAGGAUUUAUAUGAAAAAUGUUAUGCGACAUAGUUGAAGGCCCAAUAAAACAAAAGCAAAUGUUUUACGUAGAUAUUAUUGAUGGGCUUUUCUGGAAAUGGUCGGAGCGGAGAUAGUGGUUGUUUUGUACUGUGGCAGAUGCACCCUGGGAUGUGGUCUCUGGAGCUUGUUCUCGGUGGUACUAAACUCAUAUCAGGCUCUGACGGUAAAACCGUUUGGCGCCAUACGCCAUGGUUAGGUACUCACGCUGCUAAAGGCCCUCAACGUCCACUUCGUCGUCUCAUCCAGGUAAUAAUGUAUUUAUUUUUGAUAAUUACUCAAACAUACACAAGCUUUAGUUGUUAGAAUUUCAUAUACUCAAAUAUAUAUGACGUCAUAAAGAUUGUUGAAGAGAUAAGGACGUGGAAGGAAAAAGAGUAGUCAUUGUCCAAUAAGAAACGAAAGCUAAUGAAAAUAUAUAAACCUGACAAGUGAUGGAGAAGCUGUCUCCUUCUCUACUUGCUUUCUUUUGAAACUUCAAAAUCAAAACAUAGCCCCACACCAUUACCCACUCUUGACUCUCCCACCACCACACGUGCUUUAUACUUUUAUGUCACGUUGACGUCAUUUGUUUUGAUUGCUUAUAUCGAAGGCUUGCUUACUAUCUAUAUCUAUAUGUGAAAUGUUUUGCUAAUGGUUUCAGAUUUAGUUCCAUUUUUAGUAAGUAUGAGGUUUAUUUCCACAGAUUAUUGUCGGAGUUAUAUAAACAUACGUUCUCUCUUUUUUUUCUAUACGUAAAGAAAGUAAUGAACUACAAGUUUGUCCGUCAGGACGCUUUGCUAGGUAGCUGUGUACAAUUAUUGGUUAGAGAUGUAUCUAAUACGUGGUGUGAAAAUAGAGUGUACUGUACUAUUAUUAUGCACGUAUAUUCGCCAUAUCUAUGUAUAUAUGUUAAUCAUUGUGCUUCAUGAUGAAUACGAUAUUUCAUUAAUUCAAUUUCAAAGUGGGGAACUUCUUGGGAUUAUCAAAGUUUGUCGUUCGACUUUAUCUUUUCUCUUUUCUUUAAAAUCUUUUGCUUUAUAGUUCUUGUCGUUCAAACUCCAACGAAUAUGUGUCGGAAACAUUUUUCCUUUGGUGUAAGAUUUUUUUUCUUGUCAGCUUCCUUUGGUGUAAGAUCUUGAGAGUUUUUAUUACUUCUGUCUUAAUAUAUAGUAUAAUAUUAAGAUUUGUAUUUCAAUUUAUUAAGAAAAAUUUACUAAGAAAUUUGUUACUUUUAUUAUAUUUUAUAUCCAAACUAUUUUAUAAUUGGUUAGAUAUUUUAUUUGAACAUUAAAUAGUGCUUUAAUGUGAUACUUUAUCUUUUUUUACUAAACACGAUUUAUUAAUUGUGUUACAGGGUUUGGACCCAAAAACAACAGCAGGCCUAUUCGCAAAGGCCCAAUGCUUAGGCGAGAGAAGAAUCGGCGACGACGACUGCUUCGUACUCAAAGUAUCCGCCGAUCGUGACUCACUGAUCGAACGUAACGACGCCGGAGCUCCGGCGGAGGUUAUACGCCACGCGCUGUACGGAUACUUCUGCCAGAAGAGCGGGCUACUGCUCUACUUGGAAGAUUCACACCUCACCAGAGUCACGACGAUCUCACCAGAAGACGAAGCGGUUUACUGGGAGACGACGAUAGGAAGUAGCAUCGGAGAUUACCGUGACGUUGACGGAGUCGCUGUAGCUCACUGCGGACGUGCCGUCGCGACGGUGUUUCGAUUCG